rnacentral:rRNA from 1 species
AAUAGAUACCCAGGUAGUCCUAGCCGUAAACGAUACUCGCUAGGUGUCGGCCACGGUGCGACCGUUGUCGGUGCCGUAGGGAAGCCGUGAAGCGAGCCACCUGGGAAGUACGGCCGCAAGGCUGAAACUUAAAGGAAUUGGCGGGGGAGCACCACAACGGGUGGAGCUUGCGGUUUAAUUGGAUUCAACGCCGGAAAUCUUACCGGGACCGACAGCAACAUGAAGGCCAGGCUGAAGACUUUGCCGGAUUAGCUGAGAGGUGGUGCAUGGCCGUCGUCAGUUCGUACUGUGAAGCAUCCUGUUAAGUCAGGCAACGAGCGAGACCCACGCCCACAGUUGCCAGCGUAACUCUCUGGAGUGACGGGUACACUGUGGGGACCGGCCGCUGCUAAAGCGGAGGAAGGAAUGGGCAACGGUAGGUCAGUAUGCCCGAACUAUCCGGGCGUACACGCGAGCUACAAUGGUUGGUACAAUGGGUAGUCUACCCCGAAACGGGGAUGGAAAUCGUCCUAAAGCCAAUCUUAGUUCGGAUUGAGGCCGCAACUCGCCUCA